AUUGAACGCUGGCGGCAGGCCUAACACAUGCAAGUCGAACGAGUGGCGGACGGGUGAGGAAUGUCUGGGAACCUGCAUGACGGAGGGGGAUAACUACUGGACACGGUAGCUAAUACCGCAUACCAUCAGAUGUGCCCAGGUGGGAGUAGCUUGUUGGUGGGGUAACGGCUCACCAAGGCGACGAUCCCUAGCUGGUCUGAGAGGAUGACCAGCCACACUGGAACUGAGACACGGUCCAGACUCCUACGGGAGGCAGCAGUGGGUAAUAUUGCACAAUGUGCGCAAGCCUGAUGCAGCCAUGCCGCGUGUAUGAAGAAGGCUUUCGGGUUGUAAAGUACUGUCAGCGGGGAGGCGUUACCCGCAGAAGAAGCACCGGCUAACUCCGUGCCAGCAGCCGCGGUAAUUC
rnacentral:rRNA from 1 species